GUUCCAGACUCCUACGGGAGGCAGCAGUGAGGAAUAUUGGUCAAUGGGCGGGAGCCUGAACCAGCCAAGUCGCGUGAGGGAAGACGGUCCUACGGAUUGUAAACCUCUUUUGCCGGGGAGCAACGGGGUCCUUGCGAGGGCCCGAUGAGAGUACCCGGAGAAAAAGCAUCGGCUAACUCCGUGCCAGCAGCCGCGGUAAUACGGAGGAUGCGAGCGUUAUCCGGAUUUAUUGGGUUUAAAGGGUGCGUAGGCGGCAUUAUAAGUUAGUGGUAAAAUAUUGGGGCUUCACCUCACUACGCCAUUAAUACUGUAGAGCUAGAGAACAGACGAGGUAGGCGGAAUAAGUUAAGUAGCGGUGAAAUGCAUGGAUAUAACUUAGAACACCGAUAGCGAAGGCAGCUUACCAGACUGAGUCUGACGCUGAUGCACGAGAGCAUGGGUAGCGAACAGGAUUAGAUACCCCAGUAGAG
rnacentral:rRNA from 1 species